GAUGAACGCUAGCGGGAGGCUUAACACAUGCAAGUCGAGGGGCAGCACGGGUAGCAAUACUUGGUGGCGACCGGCAGACGGGUGAGUAACGCGUAUGUAACCUACCCCAUACAGAGGGAUAACUCGAAGAAAUUCGGACUAAUAUCUCAUAAGACCACACGAGGACAUCCGAGAGUGGUUAAAGUUCCGGCGGUAUGGGCUGGGCAUGCGUAACAUUAGCUAGUUGGUAAGGUAACGGCUUACCAAGGCUUCGAUGUUUAGGGGUCCUGAGAGGGUGGUCCCCCACACUGGUACUGAGACACGGACCAGACUCCUACGGGAGGCAGCAGUGAGGAAUAUUGGUCAAUGGGCGCAAGCCUGAACCAGCCAUCCCGCGUGCAGGAAGACGGCCCUAUGGGUUGUAAACUGCUUUUCCAGGGGGCGAAUAGCUCUUACGUGUAAGGGUAUGACUGUACCUUGGGAAUAAGCAUCGGCUAACUCCGUGCCAGCAGCCGCGGUAAAACGUCUA
rnacentral:rRNA from 1 species